rnacentral:lncRNA from 10 species
AGUUAGUGUCUUUGAUUUAGAAUUAAGCUAAGAAGAGCUUUUAGUUUCUGCUUCCCUUGUAACAACUGGGGUAAAAAAGAAGCUGAGAAAGAUAGGAUUUGCUGGCAAAGGGGGCCUAUGUUGGUGCUUUUCUUGGUGCUGCAACGGGACUGAGAUAUAAUCCACAGAGUUCAUUUGCGGGGUUCAUUCCAAGUGACACGGGCAGCAUGGGAACACAUGAAGAAACAGAAGUAUGGAAGGCUGGAGUACAGUGGCAUGAACAUGGCUCACUGUAGCCUUACCUCCUGGGCUCAAGCAGUCCUCCCACCUCAGCCUCCCAAGUAGCUGGGACUGCAGGAUUAUUAUGACUUCAUCAGCUUCAGGAAUAUAUGGCAACUUUGGCCAGGCCAAUUAUAGUGCUGCAAAGUUGGGUCUUCUGGGCCUUGCAAAUUCUCUUGCAAUUGAAG